UAUUGGUAAAAACCACACUUCAGUUUCCUUGCUCUGUACCUUGGUAGCAUAUAGAUCAGCUGUUUCCAGAAAAAGCUGCCUGCUUAAUUCUUCCAAAGCAUCCACUUCCUGUUGAAUAAGAGUAAGAUCUGGCACAGAAUGGGCAUCAAGGUUUUAAUCACAUAGGAAUUUCAAGAAAUGGCAAUGAGAAAGCAUAUACUUUUAGUUUUUCCUACAGUGGAUUCCCGGAGUUGCCUAUAUUCUCAAUUUCCUGUUUCAUAGCCAGCAACACUACUUCAGAGCAACUUUCCCAACCUCUGACGCAGGUGUGUAAAAGCUUCUCCAUCAAGAGCAUCGCCACCAAACAAUUACCACUCAGUUUCUCUUAAGUCAAGCAGCUCAAACAGAUAGUUUCAUUUGUUUUUUGAUUUAUCUAGUUAGAUUAAGUCAAAUGUAAUGUUCAAGAUUGUAAAUAGUUACAGAAUAAUAACUAUAAUAAAGCAUAGCUUUCUCCUACAUUAUCUGAAUAUAAUGUUAGAAAAGGGAACUAAUACUUUACUGUGUUCUAAUAUAGGCUAGGAUUUACAGACAUUACCUUAUUUCUUUUCAAACAUUAUCUUCUUUUAUAUCUUAUCUUCAUGGGAUUGUCUUAUGCCAUGGUGAUACUUUCACUUCCUGAUGCUGAAGUGGUAACACUUUUUAUCAUUCCCCAGAAACCUGAUGGUUUGUUAUGCACUUCCCCCUUCUGGAACAUUGUUCUCCGUGCCAUUGCCAUCCU
rnacentral:lncRNA from 1 species